rnacentral:lncRNA from 1 species
GAGAGGAGGCAGCUCGUUAACCCUGUCGGGCCCUCGCUCUGAGGCCGCCCCUCUGCCAGCAGGCCCCCAUCACUGACCCCAUGAGACUGGGAACAAAGUGAAAAUCUCAUCUCCAAAGAGUCAGGCCUGGGAGCCUGGGUCCCUGAUGCCCCAACCCAGGCAACCUGUGCCCCAGUCCCCUGCCCGAGGCGCUGGGUGAGACAGAGCCCUGGACGGCAGCCGGACACAAGGCGGGAACGCCCCGUCCAUCCGUCAUCACUUCCCCUCCACACUUGCGACUUUCCUGCUUCCUGACCUCUGACAAGGAACUGAACUCCAGCCAGGGUGUUACCUGCGGCGUGGGAGCCUGCCCUCCUCCUGACCGGAGCCCCUGCCAGGCGCAGCCCUGCCACCCCUCCCCGGUUCUCACACGGAACCUCUCCUCACACAGGCGGAGGGAAACUCGCAGCCCUGUGGGCCACAGAGCUGGCGGGCGGGAUGGCCGAGACACCAGCUCCCCGCUCAUUCCACACCAUUCAGGGGCCUCCCUGCCCCUCCUGCCUCAGUUUCUCCACCUGUAAGAUGGGCACGUGGGCAGGUGACAUGCGUGCAUGCCCAUGGGCCCAUGUGUGCCGACCUGGAGUUGGGCCUGGGCCCCGAAAGGCCACCAGGGUGGGUUUGUGUGGCGGGUGCUGAGGUCGAGGCACUCAUCAUGCAUCCGUGAGUCACACGUAUUCCUUUCCGGGAGCACCUGAGUUCUGCCCACCACAGCUGCCCCCUCUUCAAGGCCCUGAGCUUCAGCCCGUCUCCAGGGUCUCCCAGGCCCUCUCGUAGGAGGCCGAGCCCUGGUUUGGGCACCCCCACACCUUCCUCCUUGGGGUGGGGAUCCUGGAUGGGCAGCGGCCCUGCCCGCCCUGGCCACUCCAUGAGCACACCACGAAUGAAGCCAUUCCCUGGCCUUAGGCAAGCAGGCCCUGGACCCAAGAGCCUGCACACAGGACGACGCUGCCGGGACGUGAUUGAAUCCAGUCUCCUCCGGGCAACCGUCUUCCUGGGAGGGAACUUACGGCCGGCUGACCAGGACAGAAAAACGGAAACUCCCCCCACAGUGGUCCAGCCAUAGACGCCUCCACCAGGAAGCCCUCUGGGAAGAAGACGGCCUCUGCGUCCCAGCUCUGUCCAGUGGCCUCCAAGGUCCCCACCCAGCAUCAGCCCUGAGCAUGAGCAGGCAUCGUGUGGGGGGUGAGUCCUGACCGCGAGGGACUUCGUUCCGUGGGGUGGCUGGGGAGGCCAGGAGUGAGGGGUCAGCCGGCCUAAACCUGGAUCCCUCACCUUCUCCUAAACAUGCCCCCACCUCUCUCACAUCCACAGGUAAGCCGUUGGCAAGGCCACUUGGCUCUACCUUCAAGACAUACCAGAGCCUAACGCGUCCCGCCGCCUGGUCCCCUCCCGCUGGGACCUGCGCCCACCUCCUCACCGGCCCCUCCUCUGCACACAACCUCUGGAAAACCUUAAUCAGGUCAUAUCCCCGUCUUGGCCAGGCCCCCCGGGCUGCCGUCUCACUCCAAUAAAACUCUUUAUAGUAACCCA